rnacentral:misc_RNA from 1 species
AGCUCAAAUUUAUAAUCUGGCACCUUCGGUGUCCGAGUUGUAAUCUCUAGAAAUGUUUUCCGCGUUGGACCGCACACAAGUCUGUUGGAAUACAGCGGCAUAGUGGUGAGACCCCCGUAUAUGGUGCGGACGCCCAGCGCUUUGUGAUACAUUUUCGAAGAGUCGAGUUGUUUGGGAAUGCAGCUCAAAUUGGGUGGUAAAUUCCAUCUAAAGCUAAAUAUUGGCGAGAGACCGAUAGCGAACAAGUACCGUGAGGGAAAGAUGAAAAGCACUUUGGAAAGAGAGUUAACAGUACGUGAAAUUGUUGGAAGGGAAACGCUUGAAGUCAAACUUGCUUGCCGAGCAAUCGGUUUGCAGGCCAGCAUCAGUUUUCCGGGAUGGAUAAUGGUAGAGAGAAGGUAGCAGUUUCGGCUGUGUUAUAGCUCUCUGCUGGAUACAUCUUGGGGGACUGAGGAACGCAGUGUGCCUUUGGCGGGGGUUUCGACCUCUUCACACUUAGGAUGCUGGUGGAAUGGCUUUAAACGACCCGUCUU